AUCUGCAAACACACACACAAAAAAAAAACAUUCCAAGCACAGAGAAAAGCAUUUUAUAUCCUUGGGAUAUUUACAAACAAGAAACACUGGCUUUGUGAAGGUUGAAAAUGCAGUAUUCCCUAUUCCUUUGUGUGUAUCUGUCUGGGAGGCUCCAAAGGCUGAGAUGGCACUAAUGGGAUGUUCUCUAACUUUCCGCCUGCCAAAUAACUUAAUAAACUAAACAAACAUAUUGCUUUGUACUCCUUCUAAGGUUUCUCAAUAUUCUUAAAGAGCAUUAAUGAACCAUCCUUCACCAUCCUGUAUCUGAGUCAGGAAAAUAUUCAUAUCUCUGCUUCACAGAUAAGGAACAAGGCACAGAAAGGUCACGUGAGUGCAGAGGGUCACACAACAUGCGCGUCAGUUUUCCUUCAGCUCAGUGCCCCAUCCUCACCUGCCUAGCCCAUCAUCUUCUCCUUAGCCCUCUGGGAAGCACUGCCAAUUCCCUAUUGUCACCUUGGGAUGUCCCAGCCAAGCCCAGAAAACAAUCCCUAACUUAGCCACCAAACUUCUGCUGUACAGAGCAGUUCCCCUCAACAUCACUUGCUCUUCUCCGCUGAAGACACACAUGCCCAGCAGAGGCUGUGCUCUGGUCCUCACCCUGCAGCCUGAUGCUCCUCUGCUGUGCCAGCUGCAAGCUCAGAGGCUCUGCCUCAGGCAGCUCUUAGCCAUGCUUACAGGAACCCAGACAGAAAUGCUUCUCGGGUUUAGCUCGCAGCUCUGCUGCCAUGGGAGCUGGGGCAGACUGACUGGAGCACUUCUACCUUCCUCUUGUCAGGUGAGUGAGGUGCUACUGAUUUCCCCGGUACUGAGGACCUGACAAGGUUACUGCUGCUGGCAGGAUUACCACUUCUAGGAGGAAUGCAGACCUCUACCUCCUGCCCAGAGCAGGGCUCCUGGUGCCAGAGAAAGUGUUACAUUACCAAAGCUCUGCUGAGCACCACUGCUGCCUUUCUUUCCCACUCUCUUAGUCCUGGCCAGAACCCAGCACAGAUGCACUGUAAUUACAGAGGCUCUCCCACCUUCCCUCUUCUGCCCCGCCUGGGGGGCCCAAGCCCUGGACCUGAUGGGCUUCUACAAUGUCCAUGUCUGACAGUGCAACCUGGAUCCCAGCUGGGUGGAAGAUAACUCAGUGUGUGUUGAAGAAAUUCCUCAGAGCAGUGUUCCUCCAGAGAACCUUGACCUGCUUCCAGGAGCAGUGCCUGAUCUCAAAGCUUGACUACAGGAUGGACACAGAUCAUUGAAGGUUACUAUCAGCACUGAUGAGACUGGCACUGGAGCUGCUCCACUCUCUGAUGCAGGAACAGAAGCACAGAGGGGAGAAAAUGUGUCUCAGGCAGCUUUCCACCUAGGUGCAGGUGGUCUGCUGUAUGAUAGCAGCCACUUCUAGCUUCUGUUUUAAAUGCUACUGCUGGAAUAUGAAAGCACAGGCUAGAGAAAAGGCUGGCUCUGUGACAAAUGCAGCAGUGCAGGGCUUACUUGUGUGUACCCAUUCUGAGUUGUGCUGCCUUCCUCCUUCCCUCCCAUACACACCUGAAAGAUGAACUUGGUGCCAAAUUACUGCCCUUGGCAAUAGUUAAUUUUAAUAUUGGCAAAGGCAAGUGUGGACCUGUGCUAUUCAAUAAAAAUCUCCAAAUUGCUCAA